GGGUCUAGAUAUUUACUGUCAAAUACAACAGAGUACUUCUCAGAAGCCUGAUUCUGACAGGUAAAAUUGUGAACAGGGCUCAUCCAUGGGAGGGGGAGGGGGGGGAUGAAUGGAAUGACCCGUAUGUUAGGAGUUUAAUAAGUGUUAAAUGUGCCCUAAACUAUGAUGGAUUGCUGCGUAACCAGUUAAAUACCUCACACAAGAUGUCCGUAAUACUCGCAGGCAAUAUACAACUGACCAAUGAUUCCUCUCCAUAAACACAGUCAUUGCUUGAACAAUUAAAAUGCCGAGCAAACGUAUUAUCACUACAUUUGUCCAUAGCUUGUGAUAAAGUACAUGUGUUGAGAAGUAAUAAUAUAAGAAUAGGUACUAGCAGACACCUCUGACGGAUCGACAAGCACAAACUGUUUAUCGUAAAUAAAGAAUAAAGUAAAACAUUGCAAUUGCGUUUAUCUGCCAUUAUGGAAACAAUUCUGUCAUCCUCA